rnacentral:rRNA from 1 species
GGAUGAACGCUGGCGGCGUGCUUAACCCAUGCAAGUCGAACGGAAAGGCUCCUGCUUGCAGGGGCACUCGAGUGGCGAACGGGUGAGUAACACGUGGGUGAUCUGCCCUGCACUUCGGGAUAAGCCUGGGAAACUGGGUCUAAUACCGGAUAGGACCAUCGUUUAGUGUCGGUGGUGGAAAGUUUUUUCGGUGUGGGAUGAGCUCGCGGCCUAUCAGCUUGUUGGUGGGGUAAUGGCCUACCAAGGCGUCGACGGGUAGCCGGCCUGAGAGGGUGUACGGCCACAUUGGGACUGAGAUACGGCCCAGACUCCUACGGGAGGCAGCAGUGGGGAAUAUUGCACAAUGGGCGCAAGCCUGAUGCAGCGACGCCGCGUGGGGGAUGACGGCCUUCGGGUUGUAAACUCCUUUCGCCAGGGACGAAGCGAAAGUGACGGUACCUGGAUAAGAAGCACCGGCUAACUACGUG